rnacentral:lncRNA from 1 species
UAGAUCCAACUUGAAUGCUUCCUGAUUAAAUAUAUACAGGAGUGAUUUCAGAGGAAUUUAAGUUUUGGAUCAUUCUUUUGAGAAAGAAAGAAAAGUACCCUUUUAAAAGAGGUGGCUCUUGAACAACACAGGUUUGAACUGCAUCAUUCCACUUAUACACAGACUUUCUUCUGCCACUGCCACUCCUGAGACAACAUGACCAAUCUCUCCCCUUCCUCCUCCUCAGCGUACUUUCAACAUAAAGACGACGAGGAUAAAGGCAUUUAUGAUGAACUACUUCCACAUAAUGAAUAAUUGAACAAAGGAGAGAAUUGUGAGAGUGAGAAAAAGUGAGACAAAGAAGAAAAACUAUAAAUCAGCAAAAUACAGUGCCAAGAGCUCUGGACCACAAAUCAGAAGACCUGAGCCCUAAUUCCUUUCCAGUCAUUGGUCAGAGGCAGUGCAGCUUGUGUUACAACUCAAAAGAGUAAUACUCUGAAAAAAGAAAAAAAAAGAUGGCGCUGAAAAUAAACAUGUUCAGCAGCCAUUGUGAUUCAACUUACCCAGAUGUGCUUUUCAUGAGAUGGAGAAGGACGGAUGGAAAAGAAAAGCACACAAAUGUUAAUGGAUACAGUUCAAUCCAAAGAAAACCAUGGAAUAAAACAAGAGCAUUAUUUAAGAUGUGAGAAAGCUCAGGUAUGAGAAAGACAUGGUGCCAUUUUGUAUUUCAUCAUGACACACAUACUCACUGUGUCGAAAAGCAUAGUCAGGCUGAGGGUAGUUCUAAUAGUUGACCAAUAAGUCUAUGUCUUG